UACGGAGGGGACUAGCGUUGUUCGGAAUUACUGGGCGUAAAGCGCACGUAGGCGGAUUUGUAAGUCAGGGGUGAAAUCCCGGGGCUCAACCUCGGAACUGCCUUUGAUACUGCAAAUCUCGAGUCCGGAAGAGGUGAGUGGAAUUCCUAGUGUAGAGGUGAAAUUCGUAGAUAUUAGGAAGGAACACCAGUGGCGAAGGCGGCUCACUGGUCCGGUACUGACGCUGAGGUGCGAAAGCGUGGGGAGCAAACAGGG
rnacentral:rRNA from 1 species